GGCGAUGACGAAUUGAUUUCGUAACAAUGAAGAACUAUCUAGUGUAUUUGCAUCCUUUUCAGAGCACGUGGUUUCAUAUCAAAAGCAGCUGUGCACACGUGUCAGGCUACGGUUUAAAAAGUUUCACACACCACAACGUUAUUUUAACUCCACGCAGAUACAUCACACCAACAACAUGAUGCCACGAAGGUGGCUACUCCAGUUUCUAUCUAUCUUGCUUUUAAUCUGCUGUUCCCAGUGCUGUCAAAAAUUAGAGAAGCAAUGGUUACUAGAGGAAAUGGUAAAGGAAUAUCAUGUUGGUCCAGGAAUGGCCGCGAAUAUGUAUCCUCAUGUACUGAAAGAUAAAACAUAUUCUGAAGUGAGACAGAAAAUUUGGAAUUACUUGGUAAUUUUGAAAAAAGAGCUAUUGCCCAAACAAAGAGAAAUAGGUAUGUAUUCAACUAGUUUAAUAAAGUGUGAUAUAAUACAGUAAACUAUUGCAUAUUUUUUAUUUUAUCUAACACAAUUCCACAAGAAAUUCACUAAGACGUUGUAUUGUUCAUUUUAUAUAUCUUAUCUUAUCUUAUCUUAUAUAAUACAGACGUUACUUCAAAAAAGAAGAUGAUUACGUCCUACGCGUCAUGCAUUUAGUCAUGCAUAUUAACCAAUGACUUAAAUUCUGCCAAGUCACUGGUUUUCCUGGCUAGCUCAGGCAACCCAUUCCAUGCUCUAAUACCACUAGGGAAACACAAACUCAAAAUUGGCCCUCGAAGUGGUCCACGCAGGCAGGAAAAAAGGCAGGUUUCAAUAUUUUCAGAAAAAUAUCAAUAUUAAAUUCUAUCAGAAGUGGUCCACCCAGGCAGUUAAACAGGCAGGUUUCAAUAUGUAUGUAUCACAUUUGUUUCAGCACCUAGCUUCAACUCCAUAUUUACGUUCAAUAUUUUAAGAAAGAAUAUUAUAAUCAAUUUCUAUCAAAGGCAAAUGACAGAAAAGAAUGGAGAAAGAAUGUUGACAGAUCCUGUGUGGUGCCACAAAGGUCCAGCAGACCAAGGGAUAGGUGAAAGUGAAUGUGAAGUUAGAUGUGAACCUGGCUUUAACUGAUGUCUUAUAAUGAGUAUCUAAUUAAUCUAACUGUUUUGUAAAGGAUUAAUCUCUUAUUCAAAGACUACAAAAGAACUUUUCCGUAAAAAAAAUCCUUUAGUUUUGUGUUUCAUUGUGGAUGAAAUAUGACCCCUGCAGUUCACGCGAUAAUACAAAAAAACUACUUAUCAAUUAAUGUUUUAUAUUAUGUCCUAUUUAUUUGCAUAGUAAAUAGAUUUUUCUCUUCAAAAAAAUAUAUAAUUUUUUAAAUGUUGUAUUUAGUGGGACAGAGCUUACAUAACGAAGUAAUAAAAUUGUAAAAAAAUAUCUGUUUUGACUAAAAAUCUAAAAUUAUUUGCAUAUAUGUGUUUCAGAAAAUGUUGAACAGUCAUCUGCCUUACUAAAAAGUCCCCAGUGUUUGUUGCUAUUAAUAGUGAAUAGUUGUAAAAAUGAUGUAUUUUUAUGAAAAAACUGCUGGAAUAAUUGAUUUUCAAAAAAAAAUAGAUUUUUCACUUUGAGAAAAGAAAAAAGUAGCCGUUGAUUCAGAACUUUGAAUGAUCUAAAACAUCUUGAUGUCCUAUUUUUAUUUUCUCUUCUAGUUUCUGAGAUCUAAACUGGACGGACGGACUGACGAGCAGACAGCAAACUUAAAGCGUCUUUUCCCCUUUCGGGGGCCGCUAAAAAUGCCACCUAAAGAAUGCCGCUAAACAGAGCAAAUUCAAGAAAAGACAGUUGUUAGAAACCCGAAUAAUGAAGUUUUUUUUUUUAUAGUGUUAGAAAAAAAAAGGUUUAAAUUCAUGCAAGAAAUUAUAAAAUAUUUGCACCAUACUUUAUAUCAAUAGUGUUAAUUAGGUUUGUUUUAGGGUUGCAUCAAAACUUCUCAGGCUUCUCAAGCCAACGCUGUAAUCACUCUGCUAGCAGAGAGUCUAUGAAAAUGGAAGAUUAUAUAGUUAUCUAUUGUUUCUAUUUCAUGCUUGUCUUCACUAAGCCUCAGAAGGCAGCCUAAUAGAAAGGGGAAUAAUUCAGCUAAUAACACUACUUUUGUCAAGUAAUAUUUUUUCCCUUUUUUUUGAUACCAAACAAAGUAAUUUAUUACCAAUAGUUUAUAAACUAGUUUUUUUUUUCUUGUUUUUAAUUGUGCAAAAUGUAAGCUCGAUUCAAGAUUGGGUGUCGGAGAAAUAACGUGUACGGCCAGACAGACAAACAGACAAAAUGAAAUGAUAUAAGCUUUGUAAAAACCGAUGUAUUCUUAUAAACUUAUUUUUUUUUUAAAUAAUCUUUUUGUAUUUAAAGACAUGGCAAAAAUGAAAGCAGAUAAAGAAAGUAAGUAUUUUUAUUCUCUUCAUAUAGUUUCAUUAGUUAUCAAUACGUUUACAGUAGUUACAUUUGUUCAUAUGGGAUACAGUGCUAGUGAUGCCCAAAAUACGGCCCGAGGGCCAGUUGGCCCGCGUCGUGGUUCCAUCCGGCCCGCCGAAAAGUCGGCGCAAAGUGGAGAAAAUCCCUUCUCAAAAAAAAAAAAGUUUAAAAAUGUAUCUUUACCUACUUUAGGGCUCAUAUAUUUUUUCUGAUGGAUUGAGACCAUGACAUUUAACGUUUGUAGGCCACGAUAAUGAACAGGAGCUCUAAAUGUAGAAUCUACCAGGAAGAGUGGGCGGAUCUUUAUUUUAUUUUUUAUUUUUUUUUGUGGAACUUGAUAAUAAGCCAACAUCUUUGUUUUAUAAAAUAAAUCCUUGGUUUGAACCACGAAUAAAAGAUUAACUCCAACUAGAGAUUGGAGAAUCGAUAGGAAUAUUCCCCAAAAUGGGUCGGUUUGAAAGGUACCUACACUGUUGCUAACAUUUUAAGUAACUAAAACGAAGCUUCUGACGCGUACAAAAAAUAUAAUACUCAAAUAUGACAUGAAUGUAGCACUAAAUCCAAGGGGUUCUGGUUAAAUAGUUUCAGAACAAUUUCAUUUCAUUUUUGUAACUUUUCGGUCAUGCGGCCCGCGAAACAAGUAUUGGAAAUUAAAAUGGCCCGCAGGUCGAUUUAGGUUGAGCAUCACUGAUGUCCUAUACACUGGGAUACACCUAAAAGCUUAGUGUAAUUUUUUUUUUUAAUGUUUGAGCCUUUCCUUUGAAUAUUGCUUUACAUUUUAUCAUUAUGCGCAGAAUUAGCGUUCAAUUUAAAUCGAAUACAGUUGUCUAACCAUAACUAUUCUUUAAUAACAUUUCAUUGAUAUGAUCAAUCGUUUGGUUAUUGUGACAUCACCAGUAUUUUUUUUAAUUAAUUAUUCAUAUCAAUGAAAUGUAAUUAUUUUCAUCAUUAUCAUCUGAUACAUAAACUGUAAAAUAUCCAUUGUAUUAAAAUGUUUAUUUGUACAUCAAGAGGUACUCACCCAUUCUAUUGAGAUUCAUAAAACGCAUACUAUUUUAUAAACUGUCAAAAGGGUGGCGGGAAAGCGAGCCAACGCUUGAAAACGCAGCACUAACAGUUAAACUUACAAAAUGUAGGGGCUAGGUUUAGGGAAUUAAAGGGCGAUGGUCAGGACGCCUACAGUUUUUAUUUGAAUAACCAUUCAAACACACGAAAUGGACAGUAAUAAUAGAGACAAGGGAAGUCAUUCUGCUUUACAUAGGUGUUUUAUUUUUUGUGUCAAAAAUUUUUUGUUGGUUUAUGUAUCUGGUGUCCUAUAGGCCUACCAUUAGCAAAAAUGAAUUUAUAUUAUUUUAAAAAGAACGCUGUGAACCGGUUGUCACAAUUUAAUCACGAUUUGUGACAAAUCGCUAGUAUUUUUAUUACUUAUUUAUAUUAAAAAAAGUUUGAAUACUUUCAUCAUUAUCAUCUUCUACAUAAACUGUAAAUAUCCAUUGUAUUAAAUAUUUCAUUUGUACAUCAAGAGGUACUCACCCAUUCUAUUGAUUCACAGCAUUCGUUUUUUUUUUAAAGCAAUCAUACUGCGAAUGUAAAACUAUUCAGUAUCCGCCGUCAGCAGCAACUUUUUUCAGACAGACUGAGAUUCCAAUAAUAACAACAAUGGCAAUGGAGUAAGAACCUCAACUGGCAUCAACUCUCUUCUGUGCUAGUACCGUAAAUGACACUUUAAAACGCUGCCUUUGAACGUCAAUACUGGCAAUGACAUUCAACAAUUGUAACAGACACUUCUGAGUGAUACUGCAGGGCAGACACUGCCAAUGAAGUCUUAGUCAAGUAUUAAAACGUCAACACUGAUGUCCUAUAAGAAAUAAACACAAAACUUGACAUCUACUCUUACACUGGAAAUAGCAACAAAAAAAAAAUAAUAAAAAAUAUAAUAGUGAUACAUCAAAAGAAGAGGUCCAAAAAAUAUUACAUAAUAAUAAGUCUACAGAAAUAGUACUAAAUCUGUCCGCUAGUUUAAAAAAAUAUAUUUUAUAUAUUAAUGUUAUUAUGUGUUAUUAGGGAAGACAUAACUGCAAUGAGUGGAGUUAAGAUGGUGACCAAGACCUCGGCGUUCCAGUACCUCAUCAUUGUCGCCGAGUGAACACCCCGCUCUCUAGAGGGGUGGCCAAUGAUACUGGUUGCUUGCCACUGAUGAAUGAGCAGUCGGCAAGUGUAAAAGUGCAGAUAAAGGAGUUAUGUGCAACCCCCCUAAGAGGCCCCGGGCAAUGGUUAGUAGGAGACUCACGGGUUCUCUGAAAAGCGGAUAGCGCUGGACACCAACUCGAGGGUUGGUUGGGAUAUUCUGGGUCCCAGCUGACUCGCGGGUCCCCAUUUGGGCAAAGACUGGACUGACUGAUGCGGCCUUUGCGGGUUGUGUCAGGCGGUUUCGUUGGCGUCCACGAGCUAGUCUCUAACUAGCCCGUCCCUGUGAGGUAGUAGAGAUUUCACAAUAGUAGUUCUAAUACUGGGGGAUAUAAAACAAUUCUCACGAACCCACUUCUCCUGUAAGCGAGUUCUCGCCAUUCGGAGGAGGUGACCAGUGGUGAGGACUUCACGCACCCGAGAUUUCGGACCCUCUUGCAGGCCCUUAUACACUACCCUUAAAAUGGAAAAAAAUUAAGGCCGCCAACGGUCUUCGCCUUCCAUACAUUCAUGAUCAAUACACAUUUAACCAAGAAAGCGGGUACGAGCACACUCAAUCAGGCUCCGCUGCACGGGUAGCAGGCGGCAGGGCCGACUACGAAAAGUCCUCUACUACGCGCCCCGUGGUUUCGAUCCGGAGGAACCUGUCGAACCACGAAAAAAAAAAGGUUUUUCACCCAGGACAAAGCCCUCUUCCCAGGCUACACUGCAUUCGUUCUUCCGUCGGAAGAACGGUAGCCAAGGUGUGGCUAGCCAACCACACCCCCUGGCGAUCAUGUCCCGCACCAGGCCCAACCGACAAUAAGAACUAACAAUGCGAGGGCCACUGGCCCUAGUGGCCCUCCAAACCACCAACCAUUUCCUGUUCUGUUUCAAUAAUGCGCUCAUACGCACCACAAGCACUGGUGCAAGGAAGGGUUACAACAUUGCCCCCUUCUCAGAUUUGUCCGUUCCGGACAAAAUCUACCUCACGACAUGGGCUGUGGAGGAGAGUUGAGGCAGGCGCGGGUCUAUCGGUUGGAGCAACAAUGGGCUUAUCUUGCCAUCUCGAUGGAGCCAUCUGCGUUGUAGUCUGUCGCAGCCAAUCCAAAUCAUGGGUAUGGGGCCUAUAUCUGCUAAUCAGACCACGAACCAGACAAGCUGUCGGGAACAUGCGGCCUCGCUGCAUGCAGCUUUGAUGCAGAAUUAACGGCGAUAACAAACACACUCAAAUAUCUGCUCCAAAAAGUGCGCGAAAAGAUAACCGUUGCGACUACCGUUGUAAUGGUUACCGAUUCCCAGUCCUGCCUCCAAGCCAUGGCUGGCUUAGGGGGAAAGUCUCAAUUGGUCUCAAGAGGCGCCGCAAAUAACAUCCGCCUAUUUAUUGGAGCUGUCAUCUUUAUGCAGUGGGUUCCCUCGCGGGAGGAUCUAUUGAAAUAUUGUUGUGGUGGUGAUAUUGUAUAAUGUAAAUAUAGAUCUAACUGUACUUUGAAAAUUAUUAAUAACUCACAAUUUCUCCUUGCGGUUCGCUAUCACUCACCACACAUAUAAUAUUUAAAAAAAAUGACUUGAUAAAAAUUGUUCCACUUAAAAUAUAACUUUCAUUCAUAAAGUCCUCUAUCAAUCCUGGCUGUGCGGUUUGCGCGCUGGACUGUCGUUCGGAUUUAUCGACGGUCGAGGGUUCAAACCCUGCCCUCUCCCACCCCCCGUCGUCCUGCGGGAGGUUUGGACUAGGAAGUAAACUAUCUUCAACUCUGAAGGAACAUCCGAAACAUUUUUUACAAUCAGUUCCUAAUCAAAACAACGUCUUGCCCAAGCUAGAAGAGUGCGUCUCUAAACUACCGUUACAAUCCCAGAACCACUUCCGUCCAAAAUAAUGUGCAGUUCAAAGUCGCGACGCUAAAAGGAAAUUCCCGAUUAAACUAAACCCGUCCUAAACCUAUAACAGUAAGUAAACAGUUAUAAAUAGAUGUAGUGCUCUAAUUAACAUUUUUAAAUUAUAUCUUUUUGUGCAGGAGAAAGAUCAGAAGAUGAAACAGUAGAAAAACUGAAAUCUGAGAUGAGGAAAUAUUUUUGGGCACACGUAAUUUUUGGACGGUACUAUCCGGAAGUAUAUGUGAAGCACUUGCAACGAAAAAUACGUGAUCAUCGUACCAUAAAUGAUCGUGAACGCAAUCGCCGGCUUGAAAUUGAACGCCAACGUGAACUUGACAGAAUACGUGAAAGUGAAGACUUACCGUGAUUUUCCCCCUCGUCUUAUAAAUAAUAAACAGAGUGAAAUCCA